rnacentral:rRNA from 1 species
AUACGGAGGAUGCAAGCGUUAUCCGGAUUUAUUGGGUUUAAAGGGUGCGUAGGCUGUUUGGAAAGUCAGGGGUGAAAGCCCGGCGCCUAACGCCGGAACUGCCUUUGAUACUUCCGAGCUGGAAUACGGAUGCCGUGGGAGGAAUGAGUAGUGUAGCGGUGAAAUGCAUAGAUAUUACUCAGAACACCGAUUGCGAAGGCAUCUCACGAAUCCGUCAUUGACGCUGAGGCACGAAAGCGUGGGGAUCAAACAGGAUUAGAUACCCUGGUAGUCCACGCAGUAAACGAUGAUGACUAACCGUCGGCGAUACACAGUCGGUGGCCAAGCGAAAGCGAUAAGUCAUCCACCUGGGGAGUACGUUCGCAAGAAUGAAACUCAAAGGAAUUGACGGGG